UACGAGUACCCCGAGCGUUAUCCGGAAUUAUUGGGCGUAAAGGGUGUGUAGGCGGUAUAGUUAGUCAUUUGUUAAAACCUCGGGCCCAACCUGAGAGAUGCAAGUGAAACGGCUAAACUAAGAGCCUGUGAGAGGUGUACAGAACUUAUGGUGUAGGGGUGAAAUCCGUUGAUAUCAUGGGGAAUACCAAAUGCGAAGGCAGUACACUGGCACAGCGCUGACGCUGAAACACGAAAGCGUGGGUAGCGAAUGGGAUUAGAUACCCCUGUAGU
rnacentral:rRNA from 1 species